UUGUCAGAAUAAACUAAAAAGUCCCGAAAGUAACAAAAAUAUUUAUUAGAGCAGUGAAAAUAUUUAUAUAAAGUUUAAAAGAAUUUUAAAAUAUUGCUAUCGAGCCACUGUUGAUCGCGGAGAUCGGUAUUUCUUAUUGACGAAGGAAUACUUUUUGACAAUAAAAUUUACUUCAAGUAUUUUUUUUAUCCAAAUUAUAAUAAUUAAUCAUGGUGCAUAAAGAUUACAACACUGCCCUUAAGGGUCCAUACCAAGAAAUCAAAAAAGACAAACCAAUAUCUAAAAUGCCAUCAACAUCAUCAGCGUACAAAAAUUCCGA